CCUUUUUGCUUUUCCGGCGCAAGACUUUUUAGCAAAUUUUAUGUCCUUCAGUCCACCUCAAGUUUCUUCACGUCGCGGAUGGACUCGUAAGAAUAAAACUUUAAUUUUCACGAUAAUUUUUAUAAAUUUUUUAUUUCAAACAAUUCAAUUAAUUUCAAUUUCUUAAAAACCAGUUUUUUUUUAACGAUGAAGAAAUAUUUGUAACCAACUAACUUGCCCUUAAGGCCUUUAAAAAACUUGUUAACGCCUUUUAUCUCGUCCAAUCACCUAUAAAAUUUCACCACGUUGUCAGAUGUUCAAUUUUGUGCUCCAUAAGUAAUUGACGUCGUGCCUGAUGAAGAGAUUUUGAAUCUCGAAACAUGUUGCACUGAUCUUAUAUUAAGAAUAAAUAAUUUUUCAUCGUUCCCAAGCUUUUAUUUAUCACUUACAACCCACGAUGAACAUUGAGUCAACUAUCACCAAACUUAACAUUCAAACCAAUCUUGACUGAACAUGGACAAUUCCAUUACCUACUGCAUACCAUAGAUGUCAAAAAUUCAAAAGAUGCUGUACAUGAAACUUUCGUUAAUAAUAUAGUUAUUAUGGUAAAAGACUCAACUCAAAUGUAGAAACUUUAAGUGGCAUUUGGUUGUAUUAUUAAAAAUUCUUUAUAAAUCGA